rnacentral:rRNA from 1 species
AUGAUUGUAUGUACAACUGUAUAUCUUGGUAAACCUUUUCUACCCAUUGAGCAAAAUAUGUGUUCUACAGAUGGCGCCGACGGUGAAGCUCGUGCACAUGGUUUUGCUUUAAACGGGACUGGCUCACUAACUAACUCCCAACAAGUUGUCCUCGCUUACCUGAAAAAAUGUGGGAUUAAGCACACUGUGACACACGGCAGCAAGAGACAAAAUGAAGCAGCAGGGACUGGUGUGGUAGGUGAGAAAACAUCUUCAAGGAGGGAUUGGGGGGAUAAGUACCCGCCGUCAAUUGGGUUGAACCAUUCCCAUCCCUCUCCUGAAGCAAUUUCAAGGUUCAAUGCUAACAUGACUGCCUGUGAGGGUGGAAUUUUAAAGAAGAAAUGGGUUAAGCACUUCCAUCCAAUUUUGGCGGUUGCAUCAGGACAAGACAUCAGAGAUGAGUUGAUGCCAGGGGGGAGGUGA